GGAACCUGGUUGAUCCUGCCAGUGUCAUAUGCUUGUCUCAAAGACUAAGCCAUGCAUGUCUAAGUAUAAAUGUUAUACAGUGAAACUGCGAAUGGCUCAUUAAAACAGUUAUAGUUUAUUUGAUAAUCGAAUCUACAUGGAUAACCGUGGUAAUUCUAGAGCUAAUACAUGCUGGUUAGCCUGACUUCGCGGAA
rnacentral:rRNA from 1 species